UGCCAGCCGCCGCGGUAAUACGGAGGGAGCGAGCGUUGUUCGGAAUUACUGGGCGUAAAGGGCGCGCAGGCGGUUUGCCAAGCCAGAAGUGAAAUCUCCGGGCUCAACCCGGAAAUGGCUUUUGGAACUGGCAGACUAGAGACCGGUAGAGGAUGGUGGAAUUCCCCGUGUAGAGGUGAAAUUCGUAGAUAUGGGGAGGAACACCAGAGGCGAAGGCGGCUAUCUGGACCGGUACUGACGCUGAGAUGCGAAAGCGUGGGGAGCGAACAGGAUUAGAUA
rnacentral:rRNA from 1 species